GCCAAGGUGUAGGAAGCAGAGGGGGAAGAGUAAAUUUCUUCUCCAUAUUUACAGUUUCUAUCUAGCUCCCUCUGGUGGCAGAGCCUAACAGCGAGCAGCUGGCAAAGCAAAAAAUGCAGAUUCUCAGCCCUGACUUCAUCAGCCAAACACAGAAGGAGCAAUUCAGAGCUGGAAGACAAGGUCAUAGGAAAAUAAGGAGAAAGGAAGAUUUCUGAAGUCUUCAGGAGCAUUGACUAUAAAGGAGAUCAGAUGGAAUUGAGAAGACAUUGUAGUAAUCCAGGAUCAAAGACUAUACUCAGAACCUUUUACAUGCUAGGCAAGUGCUCUGCCACUGAAACAAAUCCCCAAUCCCAAGAUAUUCAUGCCUUUUGAUCCAGUUACUCUGCUUGAUGGGAAAAUUGUAAGGAAAUAAUCCUAAAUUUAGAAAGAAUUUUAUGCUUAUGAAGGUUUAUUGAAUCAUAUACCUCAUUCCCCAACAACAGCAAAGAAAUUAUAUUUCAUUCACUGGAUAGACUAUUAUUCAGCCAUUAAUCAUGGAAUAUUUGAAGAGUAAUAUAUGAGAAAAUAUGCUUGUUUAAUACAAAUUGAAAAGUAAGAUAUAAAUGUGUCCUUUAGAAGAUUAUAACCAUAAAGAAAACGCGUUUUUGCAGAGGGAAAAAUGGAAAUAAACUAAAAAAGCUUAUGAUGGUUAUAAUUA